rnacentral:pre_miRNA from 1 species
AAUAGAUGACGCUAUUGACUUUUUCUCACAUGUUUGACCAUUCGUCUUAUUCAAAAAAUUUAUGUAAUUAUAAUUUAUUUUGUUAUGAGUUGUUUUAUCACUCAUAGUACUUUAAGUGUGAUUUAUAUCUUAUACAUUUGCAUAAAUUUUUUAAAUAAGACGAAUGGUCAAAGAUGUGAGAAAAAGUUAACGGCGUCAUCUAUU